ensembl:lncRNA
GAUUUAACAGAGUAUAUUUAUGAGAAUAACAGUACUGACAUGCAAAACAUGUUCUAUUCUUUCUGAGGAAAUAUAGAACAUUAUUUCAGUAGGUACAUCAUGAAAUAUACAAGCAGCAUUACUGAUAGCCUAGCAAACUGAGCCACCAGGGAAGCCCUCUAGCAAAAUUAUUAAAAUGGAAAAUAACUCUGGCUUUAGUCAUUUUUCUUAGAAAAUAGAUGCUUCACUUUUUUUUUUAAUGAGAUAUCUUGACAAGGGGGGAAAAGCCCAUUUUACUGCCAAAAUGAAUCGUGUCACUCAGUCACAUAACACCUUUCCUGCUGCUGCUGCUGCUGCUGCUGCUAAGUCGCUUCAGUCGUGUCCGACUCUGUGCGACCCCAUACACGGCCUCCCACCAGGCUCCCCCGUCCCUGGGAUUCUCCAGGCGAGAACACUGGAGUGGGUUGCCAUUUCCUUCUCCAAUGCAUGAAAGUGAAAAGUGAAAAUGAAGUCGCUCAGUCGUGUCCGACUCUUAGCGACGUCAUGGACUGCAGCCCACCAGGCUCCUCCAUCCAUGGGAUUGUCCAGGCAAGAGUACUGGGGUGGGGUGCCACCGCCUUCUCCGACACCUCUCCUACGUACACACAAACACAAUCUUCAGACACCUUUCUUUGAUUUCAAAAUGGAGGGGGGCGGGGCAGGCAGUUCUUCAGUUGUCUUUAGAGCUUCAAUUAAGGCAUCACGAUAUAGUGCAGUAAUUCUCGAAAAUUCAGCAGACGUUAGGACUAAUGGAAGAUUUGUUCCAAUGUAGAGAGCUGAACUUCAUCCCUAGAAUUUCUGCUGCUGUAAGUCUGAGUGGGGCUUGACUUUGAACAGUCUGCAGGCAAUACUAAUACUGCGGGUCAAACGCCCCGCCCCCGCCCCAAGCUUCACGGGCUUUGUUGAUAUCAGGUGCACCUGGCGUUGUUGAAAAAGAGCAGGCGCAAGACUCUGUUGCCCAUUUAAGAUGAUUAACACCCUGCGAACCUCACGCGAGACCUGAGUUCCUAGGUUGAAACCCCAAGCUCUUUCCCACUUGCUUGUGAGCAGACUAUCCAUCUCGGGAGUUACUGGAUGAAGGAUGUGCAGGUAGCCCUUUUAUUCAUCUUUGCCUUGAAAGGUGGAUUCUUUACCAGCUGAGCCACAAGGGAAGCCCAAGAAUACUAGAGUGGGUAGCCUAUCCCUUCUCCAGAGGAUCUUCCUGACCCAGGAAUCAAACUGGGAUCUCCUACAUUGUAGCUCCCACAUCAUUUUGGAUCAGCCAGAGAAGAGAUGCUACCUGGGGUCUCCUUGCAUCCCCAGAAUCUUGGUGCCAAGUUCUAUGUAUUGGAAAAAAACAAGCAGUUAUGUGUACAAGGCACUGUGAUGUCUCAGAUGAUUUGUAAGAACUGGCUGAAGAAGCUGGUGUCCAAGGCUGUGGACACAGGAAGGAGUAAGAGCCAAGUAUUGCUGGCAGCCUCAAGAAGCUAGAAAAGGCAAGACCAUGGAUUCCCCCCAGAGUUUCCAGAAAGGAAAACAGCCCUGCUGACUCUUUGAUUUUAGCCCUGUGAGAACUGUGUCAGCUUUCCAACCUUCAUAAUUGUAAUAUAAUAAAUGUAUGCUGUUUAAUAAAUGUAAGAUAAUAAAUGUGUGCUGUUUUAAAGCCACUGGAUUUGUUGUAUUUGUUAUACCAGCUCUAGAAAACUCAUGAACUGACAGAAAACUAAUAUAAGAUGUAAAGAUCCUAAUGAAGGGCCAGGUGCACAAAGAAUUAUCAGUAAAACAAAUACAUGUUAGUCAUACAGAGUAGACAGGGAAAAGAAAGACUGAAUACUCUAAAAUUUUCAUAUGUAGCAAUUUUGUCCAGGGUUGACCCUGUGUAUGUCAUCAACAGCCUGUUCUGAAAAUCACAAUGAGAUUCACAAAGUUGGUUUUAGAACCUAAAGGGAUUCUUUCUCUUCUUUGUUUGAACCAGGGUUGUCAUGUCUAAGUAUAUCCCCAAUAGUCAUUCUGUCUGAAAGCACUUAAAAUACUGUGUUAUUCCAAAAUAUGUGUAUGUACAUUUAUAUAUUAUAUAUAUAUAUUUAUGUACACUAAUAUAAAUGUCUGGAGCUGAUGUGGCUCAGAUGGUAAAACAU